rnacentral:rRNA from 1 species
GUCCCAGUUCGGAUUGCAGGCUGCAACCCGCCUGCAUGAAGUUGGAAUCGCUAGUAAUCGCGGAUCAGCAUGCCGCGGUGAAUACGUUCCCGGGCCUUGUACACACCGCCCGUCACACCAUGAGAGUCGGGAACACCCGAAGUCCGUAGCCUAACCGGUAAGGGGGCGCGGCCGAAGGUGGGUUCGAUAAUUGGGGUGAAGUCGUAACAAGGUAGC